CCUACGGGUGGCAGCAGUGGGGAAUAUUGGACAAUGGGCGAAAGCCUGAUCCAGCCAUGCCGCGUGUGUGAAGAAGGCCUUCGGGUUGUAAAGCACUUUCAGUGGGGAAGAAAGCCUUGGGGCUAAUACCCUCGAGGAAGGACAUCACCCACAGAAGAAGCACCGGCUAACUCCGUGCCAGCAGCCGCGGUAAUACGGAGGGUGCGAGCGUUAAUCGGAAUUACUGGGCGUAAAGCGCGCGUAGGCGGUCUGAUAAGCCGGUUGUGAAAGCCCCGGGCUCAACCUGGGAACGGCAUCCGGAACUGUCAGGCUAGAGUGCAGGAGAGGAAGGUAGAAUUCCCGGUGUAGCGGUGAAUUGCGUAGAGAUCGGGAGGAAUACCAGUGGCGAAGGCGGCCUUCUGGACUGACACUGACGCUGAGGUGCGAAAGCGUGGGUAGCAAACAGGAUUAGAUACCCCGGUAGUC
rnacentral:rRNA from 1 species